CAGUGGCGAACGGGUGAGUAACACGUGGGCAAUCUGCCCUGCACUCUGGGACAAGCCCUGGAAACGGGGUCUAAUACCGGAUAUUACUGUCGCAGGCAUCUGUGACGGUGGAAAGCUCCGGCGGUGCAGGAUGAGCCCGCGGCCUAUCAGCUUGUUGGUGGGGUGAUGGCCUACCAAGGCGACGACGGGUAGCCGGCCUGAGAGGGCGACCGGCCACACUGGGACUGAGACACGGCCCAGACUCCUACGGGAGGCAGCAGUGGGGAAUAUUGCACAAUGGGCGAAAGCCUGAUGCAGCGACGCCGCGUGAGGGAUGACGGCCUUCGGGUUGUAAACCUCUUUCAGCAGGGAAGAAGCGAAAGUGACGGUACCUGCAGAAGAAGCACCGGCUAACUACGUGCCAGCAGCCGCGGUAAUACGUAGGGUGCGAGCGUUGUCCGGAAUUAUUGGGCGUAAAGAGCUCGUAGGCGGCUUGUCGCGUCGGAUGUGAAAGCCCGGGGCUUAACUCCGGGUCUGCAUUCGAUACGGGCAGGCUAGAGUUCGGUAGGGGAGAUCGGAAUUCCUGGUGUAGCGGUGAAAUGCGCAGAUAUCAGGAGGAACACCGGUGGCGAAGGCGGAUCUCUGGGCCGAUACUGACGCUG
rnacentral:rRNA from 1 species